rnacentral:lncRNA from 1 species
UCCUAAUGCAUGUAAUACUGUUUGGAAUUGGCACUCUAAUGGAUUCAGUUACAUGAUGUUGGAUUAGCUGGCUGCCAUUAUGCAGCGCAUCUUGUGUGCCUCGGGUUAUGUUCUAUAUAAAAUGACGUGAAAUGUGAAAUUGGGCAAUACUUUUGAUAUACUUUUGUAACAUGGUGUAUCAUUCAUUUUUGGUUUGUGCAUAGUUCUAUUGGUGUACUGUCAAAUCUGGGGCUUCGUAUUUUCAUCCCGGCUUAUUGUAGUAUUACAAUCUGGCAUUUUAAGAGUUCUGGUUAGUUCUCAUAAUUCAUCCAGUAUAUGUUUGGUUUCAAAGCAAAUAAAUUGAAAGGACGUAUAAGAGAAGGUAUAAGGUGGAAUCUUGCAAGUAGUUGACCAAAUAUAUCUCACUUCGAGGAAUGCUUUUUGCUGAGAAUACCACUUUUUUUCCAAUACCCCAAUGAUUUCAUUCGCCGGUACCUUGACGACUUGGAUCAGGUUUUCUUCCAAAAAGGUACUUAGACAUGUCAUAAUAUAGUUGGUAGUUAGGAGAAGCAUUAAUCUUUUUGUUUCUUUAGCAAAUAGUUCUCAUGUUACAGGGUGCGUGGACAAACAGAUGCAAGGGGCAUUGUUUCAUACAACACCCACACCAAUGACCACGAGUGAAGCCAAGGGACUUGUGAACAACAUGAAAAACUUUCAUCCAUCUUUUGAUUAUACAGAAAUAUGCCUUUGAUGCAUCCGUGUUGGGACAAGCUUUUUUGGAUGGAGGGAGUAUAUGAACGUAAUUGACCACUAUCAAUUAGAAGUGCUCCUGGGUACAAUGCUCUAUAUUAUCAUGUCUUUAGUGCAUUUUAUUGUGGCACCUGUGUAUAUAGCUACUUGAAUUUUCUAAUUACGAACUCAAACAUUUGCAUUUUGUUC